CUUUUACAAUGCACUAGCGAAUUUCUAUGGAGAUCGUUCAAGUACACCCGUCCUCUGAAGCUUCUGAAGCCGAUCCCACUCAACAGCCACCUGUAAAGACAACACGCCGCCGUUGUUUCACCGGAGACGGACCUAUUCCCGCUAACAAGCGGGUCCGGAUACCACCUAUCUGUGUCCCCGCCAUUUGCCGCCUCAAACAGGAAUUGGGUCUUCGUUCCGACGGUGAAACCGUCCAAUGGCUCAUCCACGAGGCCCGACCCCAACUUGUCCCUGCUACUAUAUCACCACCCCACUCUCGCCCAUCUAGCAACGCUCUCAACCACUCCCUUCCUAAACCCCUCUGCAUGGAGUACCUCAACGAAGAUAAGCUCGCGUCUUAUCUUCCAGUUGCCACUGCCGGUGGUACGUCUGCAAUUAAGCCGGUCAGGGCGACUGUGGUUCAGGCGUCGACUGUGCUCUUCGAUACUCCGGCAACACUGGAUAAAGCAGAAAGACUAAUUGCUGGGGCUGCUGCGUAUGGGUCGCAAAUGGUGGUAUUUCCAGAAGCAUUUCUUGGCGGUCACCCAAGGUAUAUGGCAACAGAUGUUGAUUUGCAGAAGUAUUCUGCCUCCGCUAUAGAUGUGCCUGGCCCUGAAGUUGAUGGGCUUGCAAAAAUUGCUGGUAAAUAUAAAGUGCACUUAGUAAUGGGAGUGGUGGAGAGAGAUGGACUCUAUCUCUUUAGUACAAUUCUGUUUUUUGAUUCCAUGGGGCAGCACCUUGGACAUCACCGCAAGCUAAUGCCAAUGGCAUCAGAGAGUGCAGUGUGGUUUUCAGGAGAGAAAACAUCACUACCAGUAUAUAAGACCACAAUUGGGAAAGUUGGCGGCUUGGUAUCUUGGGACAACAAAUCACCACUUCUGAGAACUGAAUUAUAUGCUAAAGGUGUUGAAAUAUAUUGUAUACCUUCUGCUGAUGCAAGGGAAAUAUGGAAGGCAUCUAUGAUCCAUGUUGCCGUGGAAGGUGGCUGCUUUGUUCUUUCUGCAAACCAAUUUAGCCGAGGGAGAGACAGUCCACUACCACUGGGAAAUUCAGAUAGUGAUACAGCACUAGAUGAAAUAACAAGUGCUGGGGGUAGUUUAAUUGUUUCGCCGUCAGGGACCAUCUUGGCAGGACCUAAUUACCAAGGAGAGUGUCUUAUCUCAGCUGAUAUGGACCUCGAAGAGAUCGCUCGAGCAAAGACAGAAUUUGGCGGAGUUAGGAAUAAUCUCAACCCAAACCAUGUUGGUUGGACUACAAGUGGAUCGAAUCCAAUUUCUUUAGCAACAGAUGUGAAAGCAGAAGUUCCCAAGCAGCUUUCAUGGUGACUCGGCUGUGUAGAAAUUGUUAGGUCUAGAAUUAACUUGUCUUAAUCUUACAAGGGCAAUGACUAGUUUAGAUUUUGCUUAUCACUUAUCAUGUGUAUAAAGUUUGGGUAAACGAGUA
rnacentral:misc_RNA from 1 species